UGUCAAAAACUUCUGUCCCAUUAUUUUGUUUGAAUUCUUGUAAAUAUGUUAUAACGUGGUAAAUUCGUCUCCUUACUUGGUUGCUUGAUGAAAAAAGUGGUAACUCCCCAUUCUAAUUAUUGUUUCGCGUCAUCCAAAUUCUUGUAAACAUUUCAUGUCCCCUCGUCAUUAUAGUAAUUGGUCCCUUGGUAACCGCUUGAUGCAAAAUUGUGGUAACUCUGCAUCCUAAAUUCCUAAUUAUCGCCUCGUGACUUCCUAAUUAUCGCCUCGUAACUAAUUCAUGGUAAAUUUGUUCCGUUAUUAUACUAAUUGGUUCAUUGAAAACACACAAAAUUGUAGUAACUCUC
rnacentral:lncRNA from 1 species